AGAGACUCUGCAAAGCAAAACAUCAGAGAGACAAGUCAUAAAAAACAAGUGUUUUCAGCUGCCAAAAGAAAGGACAGGUUUUCAGAAUUCUUGCUAUGAAAUAAAAUAUCUGGAAGGCAACAAGAAAAAUGGGAAGCAUCAUUUAGAUACAAGUUACUGCCACCAAAAAUGGGAAGCAAUUUGCUGAGGCUGCUACCUAAGCACGAGUUGCUAAUUAUAGACUAGGAGCAGGCAGAAGGAGCCAGGUGGUACAAUGUCCAUAAAGAGCAAGAAGUGAUGUGGCAAGAGGGCAAACCAGCAGGAUGCAUCAGCACAGCUGCUGCUCAGUCCUGAAUACUUCACUUUCCAAGUGUGACCCAUCUGCCAGAAUUCAACUGGCAACAACAAGAGCUGCACUCAAACUUAACAGAAUGAGCCAGAAACAAGGAAAAGAUUUACUACUUGAGAGUUCUGGAGAAGGGAGGCUUUGGAGGAAAUGGUGA
rnacentral:lncRNA from 12 species